GGGGAUUUAGCUCAGUGGUAGAGCACUUGCCUACAAAUGCAAGGCCCUGGGUUCGGUCCCCAGCUCCG
rnacentral:tRNA from 1 species